rnacentral:lncRNA from 1 species
AUGGACUUCCUGCAUAUGAAAGAUCUUCUACAUAAACAUCCACAAAUGAGAAUCAUAUGCAAUGUAUGUAUGACUGUAUAUUCCCCUUUUAUUAAGUGCAUUCUUUUUUCACGUUUCCAAUAUCCUAGAUUGUAUCUUAUCGAAAUUCAGAUACCAAAAGAACUGGUUUUGGCAUAGUGAAGGUAACAUGAUACCUGUUCUAAAGUCUGAUAAAAUUGCGUGCUUUAUUUUGUGUGUAAUUUCUUUUCCUUGAUAUCACUUUAGUAUUGAUACCACAUGUCAUCCUUAUCCCUUCAAAAACACAUAAAAAGUGAGGGGGGAAAAAAGGGAAAAAAAAAAAAGCUGAACACAAAUUCACCCUGAUAUGACUUUGGUGGAAGGAAGACAAAGACAUGCUGAACUCAGUGGCAUUACUGAUGAAUUUAUUUAUGACUGUCAACAAUUCAAAUUGCAUUGAAAGUAUGUCAGCUCCCUGAAAUGGUAGGAAAAUCCACCUAGUGUCAAAAAUAUAUUUAAGAGGAAUUUAAGGUCUGAAAGCAGUCUGGUGGUCAUACCAAUUCUGGAUAAACUGAAAAUAGAGGAGCAAAUUUGGUAAAUUACUGAUGAGGAAGCAAUAUGCAGUGACUGUAGCUCAUAUUGGUCAGGCAGCAGGGCACAUAAUAUGUGUUCACAGAGAAAGGAGGUAAUAGAGAAGGUCUGCACAUCUAUAUGAGAAAUAAUAUUGGAAAUAAAGACAAAAUAUGGAAGAAAGCCCCA